GUUAAUCUGCAAACUCCACAGUGUAUUGUUAAUCUCUUGAGGAAAGUGACAAUCUAGUUAAAAGCUGGGGUAAUUGAUAUACAAAUGCAUGCACAUAUGCUUAUCUGAGUCAUAUAUCUUAUAUCUAUCUAUCUCACUACAUAGAUGAAGGCUGAUAAAAAUGUGCUUAUGAAAAGAUAAAAACUAGGCUUUACACAAUAAGCUUAAAGCAUAGUAGGAUGUGCUGUAACACUUUAAAAGAGUUAUGUUGGUGUUCUUCAGUAAUAUUUAAUGAGAUGGGAAAAAAAAUCAAACAGGAUCUUAAGCUAUACUUAGGAUUUCUAUGGGGGAAAAAUUGGGAAAAGCAUUUUAUAUGAGAUAUUCAUACUGAGUAGGUAGC
rnacentral:lncRNA from 1 species